rnacentral:rRNA from 1 species
UACAGAGGGUGCAAGCGUUAAUCGGAAUUACUGGGCGUAAAGCGUGCGUAGACGGUUAUGUAAGUCGGGUGUGAAAGCCCCAGCUAACUUGGGAACUGCCAUUGAUACUGAUGGUCUUGAGUACAUUUGAGGUGGGCGGAAUGUGUCAUGUAGCGGUGAAAUGCUUAGAUAUGACACAGAACACCGAUUGCGAAGGCAGCUCACUAAACUGUAACUGACGCUGAGGCACGAAAGCGUGGGGAGCAAACAGG